ensembl:rRNA 5S_rRNA 5S ribosomal RNA
AUCUAUGGCCAUAACACCCUGAACACGCCUGAUCUCUUCUGAUAUCGGAAGCUUAGCAGGGUCAGACCUGUUUAGUACUUGGAUGGGAGACCACCUGGAAAUACUGGGCGCUGUAGGCU